rnacentral:misc_RNA from 1 species
AAAGUGCGACAAGUGUCAUGACUUGCAGAUACCCGAGAGCUGACAAAUUUCUGAAUGCAAAUUGCAGCCAAGUUAACCUGGCUAUGUAUUGCAGAGAGUACUUCGCUUAUGCGCGCCAUCCAGGGGUGGUUCCAUAUUCCCCCUUGGGCUAUGUGCAGGCAUCUCUUCAUAAUGUGCUUGCUGAGCAUUGUGCCACUCCAACCUCCGUGUUGGACUAAAGGCCAACUCAAAUCAAAGAUAGAAAACCAACGAGUUUUCCCGGACAACAAUGAGCGCUAAAAUUGCCUAAACCACAAUUUUACUCUCUCACCAUUCACCUCUGCAAUGCAGGAGAACCCGCUGAACUUAA